AGAAUCAACGCUGGCGGCGUGCCUAACACAUGCAAGUCGAACGAGAAAGUGGAGCAAUCCACGAGUAAAGUGGCGCACGGGUGAGUAACACGUGACUAACCUACCCUUGAGUGGGGGAUAACCUAGGGAAACCUGGGCUAAUACCGCAUAAUACCUUCGGGUCAAAGGAGCAAUUCGCUUAAGGAGGGGGUCGCGGCCGAUUAGUUAGUUGGCGGGGUAAUGGCCCACCAAGACUGUGAUCGGUAUCCGGCCUGAGAGGGCGCACGGACACACUGGAACUGAAACACGGUCCAGACUCCUACGGGAGGCAGCAGUGGGGAAUUUUGCGCAAUGGGGGAAACCCUGACGCAGCAACGCCGCGUGGAGGAUGAAGCCCCUUGGGGCGUAAACUCCUUUCGAUCGGGACGAUUAUGACGGUACCGGAAGAAGAAGCCCCGGCUAACUUCGCGCCAGCAGCCGC
rnacentral:rRNA from 1 species